rnacentral:rRNA from 1 species
UACGAAGGGGGCUAGCGUUGCUCGGAAUCACUGGGCGUAAAGCGCACGUAGGCGGAUUGCUAAGUCAGGGGUGAAAUCCUGGAGCUCAACGUCCAGAACUGCCUUUGAUACUGGCUGUCUUGAGUACGGGAGAGGUGUGUGGAACUCCGAGUGUAGAGGUGAAAUUCGUAGAUAUUCGGAAGAACACCAGUGGCGAAGGCGAAGCACACUGGC